rnacentral:rRNA from 1 species
AAUAUUAAAGGCAACGCCUGCCCAGUGAACAAUUAAACGGCCGCGGUACCCUAACCGUGCAAAGGUAGCGUAAUCACUUGUCUAUUAAUUGUAGACCCGUAUGAAAGGCAAAAUGAGGGCCUAACUGUCUCUUAUAAUAAAUCAAUUAAACUGAUCUCCCAGUCCAAAAGCUGGAAUACACACAUAAGACCAGAAGACCCUGUGAAGCUUAAACUAAACUAUUAAACCACAUAAUAGCUCCUUUUGGUUGGGGCGACCUUGGAAAAAAAAAGAACUUCCAAACAAGUGACCUACAUCACACCACAAGGCCAACAAGCCGAUACUAUGACCCAGCAUAGCUGAUAACUGAACCAAGUUACUCCAGGGAUAACAGCGCUAUCUUCUUCAAGAGCCCAUAUCAAAAAGAAGGUUUACGACCUCGAUGUUGGAUCAGGACAUCCUAAUGGUGCAGCCGCUAUUAAGGGUUCGUUUGUUCAACGAUUAACAGUCCU